GCUCGCGUGCGUGUUCGUAUGG
rnacentral:miRNA from 1 species